GACGAACGCUGGCGGCGUGCUUAACACAUGCAAGUCGAACGGAAAGGCCCCUUUGGGGGUACUCGAGUGGCGAACGGGUGAGUAACACGUGAGUAACCUGCGCUUGACUUCGGGAUAACUUCGGGAAACUGGGGCUAAUACCGGAUAGGAAUCCUUGCUGCAUGGUGGGGGUUGGAAAGCUUGGGCGGUUUUGUGUGGACUCGCGGCUUAUCAGCUUGUUGGUGGGGUAGUGGCUUACCAAGGCUUUGACGGGUAGCCGGACUGAGAGGGCGACCGGCCACAUUGAGACUGGGACACGGCCCAGACUCCGACGGGAGGCAGAAGUGGGGAAUAUUGCACAAGGGGAGGAAGCCUGAUGCAGAAACGCCGCGGGCGGGAUGACGGCGUUGGGGUUGUAGACCGCUUUCAGCAGGAGCGAAGCUUGUGGUGACGGUACCUGCAGAAGAAGCACCGGCUAACUACGUG
rnacentral:rRNA from 1 species